UCCUCAGUAGCUCCAGUGGUAGAGCGGUCGGCUGUUAACUGACUGGUCGUAGGUUCGAAUCCUACUUGGGGAG
rnacentral:tRNA from 7 species